UAUAAAUUAGUACAGUAAUAAAUAAGUAUUUCAAAUUUUUUCGACCCUGUUGAAAAUAUUAUUUUCAAACAAACAGUUCAAUUGACUAGCUUAUUUUACUCUCACCUCAAGAAUUUUUCGUUAUACGAAAAGCUGUAUUAUGUUAAAUUUAUUAAUUAUGAAUAGAUCACAGCUCAUACUGUACUUUUGUAUACAAUAACGCAAUUUUCUAUACGUCGGUAUAACAACGUGCAGAUAAUUUUUUAUU